rnacentral:rRNA from 1 species
UACGUAGGUCCCGAGCGUUGUCCGGAUUUAUUGGGCGUAAAGCGAGCGCAGGUGGUUUAUUAAGUCUGGUGUAAAAGGCAGUGGCUCAACCAUUGUAUGCAUUGGAAACUGGUAGACUUGAGUGCAGGAGAGGAGAGUGGAAUUCCAUGUGUAGCGGUGAAAUGCGUAGAUAUAUGGAGGAACACCGGUGGCGAUAGCGGCUCUCUGGCCUGUAACUGACACUGAGGCUCGAAAGCGUGGGGAGCAAACAGG